rnacentral:rRNA from 1 species
GCUUGCUCCACCGGAAAAAGAGGAGUGGCGAACGGGUGAGUAACACGUGGGUAACCUGCCCAUCAGAAGGGGAUAACACUUGGAAACAGGUGCUAAUACCGUAUAACAAUCGAAACCGCAUGGUUUUGAUUUGAAAGGCGCUUUCGGGUGUCGCUGAUGGAUGGACCCGCGGUGCAUUAGCUAGUUGGUGAGGUAACGGCUCACCAAGGCCACGAUGCAUAGC